rnacentral:rRNA from 1 species
AGCAGUCGCCGCGGGAAUACGAAGGGUGCAAGCGUUACUCGGAAUUACUGGGCGUAAAGCGUGCGUAGGCGGCUUUUUAAGUCGGAUGUGAAAUCCCUGAGCUUAACUUAGGAAUUGCAUUCGAUACUGGGAAGCUAGAGUAUGGGAGAGGAUGGUAGAAUUCCAGGUGUAGCGGUGAAAUGCGUAGAGAUCUGGAGGAAUACCGAUGGCGAAGGCAGCCAUCUGGCCUAAUACUGACGCUGAGGUACGAAAGCAUGGGGAGCAAACAGGAUUAGAUACCCCAGUAGUCCCUGUCUCUUAUAC